rnacentral:rRNA from 1 species
GGGAACUCAAAGGAGACUGCCAGUGAUAAACUGGAGGAAGGUGGGGAUGACGUCAAGUCAUCAUGGCCCUUACGACCAGGGCUACACACGUGCUACAAUGGCGCAUACAAAGAGAAGCGACCUCGCGAGAGCAAGCGGACCUCAUAAAGUGCGUCGUAGUCCGGAUUGGAGUCUGCAACUCGACUCCAUGAAGUCGGAAUCGCUAGUAAUCGUGGAUCAGAAUGCCACGGUGAAUACGUUCCCGGGCCUUGUACACACCGCCCGUCACACCAUGG